GAUGAACGCUGGCGGCGUGCCUAAUACAUGCCAGUCGAGCGAACGGACGAGAAGCUUGCUUCUCUGAUGUUAGCGGCGGACGGGUGAGUAACACGUGGAUAACCUACCUAUAAGACUGGGAUAACUUCGGGAAACCGGAGCUAAUACCGGAUAAUAUUUUGAACCGCAUGGUUCAAAAGUGAAAGACGGUCUUGCUGUCACUUAUAGAUGGAUCCGCGCUGCAUUAGCUAGUUGGUAAGGUAACGGCUUACCAAGGCAACGAUGCAUAGCCGACCUGAGAGGGUGAUCGGCCACACUGGAACUGAGACACGGUCCAGACUCCUACGGGAGGCAGCAGGAGGGAAUCUUCCGCAAUGGGCGAAAGCCUGACGGAGCAACGCCGCGUGAGUGAUGAAGGUCUUCGGAUCGUAAAACUCUGUUAUUAGGGAAGAACAUAUGUGUAAGUAACUGUGCACAUCUGGACGGUACCUAAUCAGAAAGCCACGGCUAACUACGU
rnacentral:rRNA from 1 species